GACGAACGCUGGCGGCGUGCUUAACACAUGCAAGUCGAACGGUGAAGCUCCAGCUUGCUGGAGUGGAUCAGUGGCGAACGGGUGAGUAACACGUGAGCAACCUGCCCCUGACUCUGGAAUAAGCGCUGGAAACGGCGUCUAAUACUGGAUACGAGAAGGGUCCGCAUGGGCACUUUCUGGAAAGUUUUUCGGUUGGGGAUGGGCUCGCGGCCUAUCAGCUUGUUGGUGAGGUAAUGGCUCACCAAGGCGACGACGGGUAGCCGGCCUGAGAGGGCGACCGGCCACACUGGGACUGAGACACGGCCCAGACUCCUACGGGAGGCAGCAGUGGGGAAUAUUGCACAAUGGGCGAAAGCCUGAUGCAGCGACGCCGCGUGAGGGAUGACGGCCUUCGGGUUGUAAACCUCUUUCAGCAGGGAAGAAGCGAAAGUGACAGUACCUGCAGAAGAAGCACCGGCUAACUACGUG
rnacentral:rRNA from 1 species